AUGGCUCCUGCCUCUCUAAAGAAAAUUCGGCAUGCAAACAUGACUGCAGAUUUCCAGAAACUAUCUAAGUUUGCUUGUGGUUCUGAUGCAGCAAAAGGCAUUGUUGAUAAGCACAUGCGUGCGGCGCGGACAGAGAUUGUGGAGCUGAACAAGUCUAGAAGGGAAAAAGGGGCUGCAAGAGAGGCAGGUCCAUCCGCUGGUGAUAACAACCAGGAUCCUCCCGUGCCACCUACAUCUACAGAGCCUACUCCAGCAACUACCCCUACUGGUCGUGCUCCACCACCUACUCCCAUGGGUCGUGGUGGUUUUGGUGGAGCACCUCCUCCAAUGGACCGUGGUGGUUGUGCUCCAUCACCUAGUCCCACGGGCCAUGGUAGUCAUGGUCCACCAUGUCCUCCCAUGGGUCGUCCUGCACAUGGUCCAGCGCCUCCUCCCAUGGGUCAUGCUGAACCGCCUCCUCCGAUGGGUCAUGCUGGGCCACGUGUGAGUAAUGCUUCAGCACCUCUUCCUAUGGGUAACACAACACAAGGCCAUCCUAACUACACUGAGCAGAUGUCGCAUACGAGCAACGACAAUGACGAUGCAACUCAUAGGGAUCCACCAAAGUCAACUACAAAAGGGAGGACGAGGAGUAGACAUUAUCAUUCAGCUCUUGAACUACACCCAAAAAGGAAAAACAGGUGCAGCUACUGCAACUCAGAUAAAUGGGGAAACUUGGUGACACAGAAGCAAUAG
rnacentral:rRNA from 1 species